CCUACGGGUGGCAGCAGUGGGGAAUAUUGGACAAUGGGGGCAACCCUGAUCCAGCCAUGCCGCGUGUGUGAAGAAGGCCCUCGGGUUGUAAAGCACUUUCAGUGAGGAAGAACGCCUGGUGGUUAAUACCCGUCAGGAAAGACAUCACUCACAGAAGAAGCACCGGCUAACUCCGUGCCAGCAGCCGCGGUAAUACGGAGGGUGCGAGCGUUAAUCGGAAUUACUGGGCGUAAAGCGCGCGUAGGUGGCUUGAUAAGCCGGUUGUGAAAGCCCCGGGCUCAACCUGGGAACGGCAUCCGGAACUGUCAAGCUAGAGUGCAGGAGAGGAAGGUAGAAUUCCCGGUGUAGCGGUGAAAUGCGUAGAGAUCGGGAGGAAUACCAGUGGCGAAGGCGGCCUUCUGGACUGACACUGACACUGAGGUGCGAAAGCGUGGGUAGCAAACAGGAUUAGAUACCCGUGUAGUC
rnacentral:rRNA from 1 species